GAUUCGGUGGUCGUGGAUACGGAGGUGGUGGUGGAUUCGGAGGUGGUGGAUAUGGGGGUGGUCGAGGAUCCGGCGGCAGACAUGGAUACGGCAAAUAAAAUCUUUGGACGAGCCAACUCCUCUCAACGCCGCAUGUCUCCUCAUAAUAAAGGGAAUGACGUCAAUUGAUUGAAUUCAGCGGUUGAAGAUGAAGGAUAGCAUGAAUUGGGAACGGGACAUGUAUCACAUGUUCAACAUUCUCUCUCGUCUUACAAGAUUGAAUAAAAAGUAUCAAUUAUUA
rnacentral:lncRNA from 1 species